GACGGGGGGUCCUAGCGUUGUUCGGAAUUAUUGGGCGUAAAGCGUGUGCAGGUUGUUUGAAAAGUUAGAUGUGAAAUCCUCGGGCUCAACCCGAGACGUGCAUUUAAAACUGCCAGACUUGAGUAUGGAAGAGGAUCGUGGAAUUCCUAGUGUAGUGGUGAAAUACGUAGAUAUUAGGAGGAACACCGGUGGCGAAGGCGGCGAUCUGGUCCAAUACUGACACUCAUACACGAAAGCGUGGGGAUCAAACAGG
rnacentral:rRNA from 1 species